UACGUAGGGUGCAAGCGUUGUCCGGAAUUAUUGGGCGUAAAGGGCUCGUAGGCGGUUUGUCGCGUCGGGAGUGAAAUCCACUGGCUUAACUGGUGGCUUGCUUUCGAUACGGGCAGACUGGAGGUAUGCAGGGGAGAACGGAAUUCCUGGUGUAGCGGUGAAAUGCGUAGAUAUCUGGAGGAACACCGGUGGCGAAGGCGGCAUCCUGGACCGGUAUUGACGCUGAGGCGCGAAAGCCAGGGGAGCAAACGGG
rnacentral:rRNA from 1 species